rnacentral:rRNA from 1 species
GGGGUUCGACGGCCAGUGAUUAGAGUUUGAUCCUGGCUCAGGAUAAACGCUGGCGGCGCACAUAAGACAUGCAAGUCGAACGGAAGUCGUUACAAAUGAAGUGGAAUGACGAUUUAUCUGAAUGAAGCAGAAAUUGUAACAAUGGCUUUAGUGGCGGACUGGUGAGUAACACGUAAGCAACCUACCUAUUAGAGGGGAAUAACAAUGAGAAAUCAUUGCUAAUACCGCAUAAGCUUGUAGGACCGCAUGGUCUAGCAAGAAAAGGAGCAAUCCGCUAAUAGAUGGGCUUGCGGCUGAUUAGCUAGUUGGUUAGGUAAUGGCUGACCAAGGCAACGAUCAGUAGCCGGGCUGAGAGGCUCUUCGGCCACAUUGGGACUGAGAUACGGCCCAGACUCCUACGGGAGGCAGCAGUCGGGAAUAUUGCGCAAUGGAGGAAACUCUGACGCAGUGACGCCGCGUAUAGGAAGAAGGUUUUCGGAUUGUAAACUAUUUUAGACAGGGAAGAAAAAUGACAGUACCUGUAGAAUAAGCUCCGGCUAACUACGUGCCAGCAGCCGCGGUAAUACGUAGGGAGCAAGCGUUAUCCGGAAUUAUUGGGUGUAAAGGGUGCGUAGACGGGAAUACAAGUUGGUUGUGAAAUCCCCAGGCUUAACUUGGGAACUGCAACCAAAACUAUAUUUCUUGAGUGCAGGAGAGGAAAGCGGAAUUCCUAGUGUAGCGGUGAAAUGCGUAGAUAUUAUGAGGAACACCGGUGGCGAAAGCGGCUUUCUGGACUGUAACUGACGUUGAGGCACGAAAGUGUGGGGAGCAAACAGAUUAGAUACCCUGGUAGUCCACACUGUAAACGAUGGAUACUAGUGUAGGGAAUAAUAUAUUUUCUGUGCCGAAAGCAACGCAAUAGUAUCCCACCUGGGGAGUACGCCGCAGUGAACUCAAAGGAAUUGACGGGGCCGCACAGCAGUGAGUAUGUGUUUACUCGAGCACGCGAGACUACAGGCUGACAUAUACAGAUAGUAGAGAUAUAGCUCUCGAGUCUGUAUACAGUGUGCAUGUGUCGUCAGCUCUGUCUGGAUGUGGGUAGUCCGCACGAGGCAACCUAUUUUAGUGCAGCAGUAGAUGUACUUAAGACGCGUGGAAUCGAGAGUGACAGCCAUUCAUGGCCUAGUCUUGGGGUAAAACGUACUUACAUGCGUACCCUCA